rnacentral:rRNA from 1 species
GACGAACGCUGGCGGCGUGCUUAACACAUGCGAGUCGAACGGAAAGGCCCUGCUUUUGUGGGGUGCUCGAGUGGCGAACGGGUGAGUAACACGUGAGUAACCUGCCCUUGACUUUGGGAUAACUUCAGGAAACUGGGGCUAAUACCGGAUAGGAGCUCCUGCUGCAUGGUGGGGGUUGGAAAGUUUCGGCGGGUGGGGAUGGACUCGCGGCUUAUCAGCUUGUUGGUGGGGUAGUGGCUUACCAAGGCUUUGACGGGUAGCCGGCCUGAGAGGGUGACCGGCCCCAUUGGGACUGAGAUACGGCCCCGACUCCUCCGGGAGGCAGCAGUGGGGAAUAUUGCACAAUGGGCGGACGCCUGAUGCAGCAACGCCGCGUGCGGGAUGACGGCCUUCGGGUUGUAAACCGCUUUCGCCUGUGACGAAGCGUGAGUGACGGUAAUGGGUAAAGAAGCACCGGCUAACUACGUG